rnacentral:rRNA from 1 species
GUGGGGAAUAUUGGACAAUGGGCGAAAGCCUGAUCCAGCCAUGCCGCGUGUGUGAAGAAGGUCUUCGGAUUGUAAAGCACUUUAAGUUGGGAGGAAGGGCAGUAAGUUAAUACCUUGCUGUUUUGACGUUACCGACAGAAUAAGCACCGGCUAACUUCGUGCCAGCAGCCGCGGUAAUACGAAGGGUGCAAGCGUUAAUCGGAAUUACUGUGCGUAACGCGCGCGUAGGUGGUUUUGUAAGUUGGAGGUGAAAUCCCCGGGCUCAACCUGGGAACUGCCUCCAAAACUGCAUGACUAGAGUACGGUAGAGGGUAGUGGAAUUUCCUGUGUAGCGGUGAAAUGCGUAGAUAUAGGAAGGAACACCAGUGGCGAAGGCGACUACCUGGACUGAUACUGACACUGAGGUGCGAAAGCGUGGGGAGCAAACAGGAUUAGAUACCCUAGUAGUCC